GAUGAACGCUAGCGGCAGGCCUAAUACAUGCAAGCUGAACGGCAAGAUUUGUAGCAAUACGAGUCCCAGAGUAGCGUAAGGGUGCGUAACACGUAUGCAAUCUGCCCGCAACAGGAGGAUAGCUUAGCGAAAGUUGAGAUAAGACUCCAUAAGAUCACGAGAGGGCAUCUGAUUGUGAUUAAACUACAAGGGGUUGCGGAUGAGCAUGCGUCUGAUUAGUUAGUUGGCGGGGUAACGGCCCACCAAGACGAUGAUCAGUAGGGGAACUGAGAGGUU
rnacentral:rRNA from 1 species